AGCAGCCGCGGUAAUUCCAGCUCCAAUAGCGUAUAUUAAAGUUGUUGCAGUUAAAAAGCUCGUAGUUGAAUUUCGGGAUUGGCGCAUCGGUCGUGCCUCACGGGGUAUGAACUGGUGCAGUCAAUUUCUCACCUUCUGGAGAACCGCGAUGUCCUUAAUUGGAUGCCGCGGGGAACCAGGACCUUUACUUUGAAAAAAUUAGAGUGUUUAAAGCAGGCAUUUUUGCUUGAAUACAUUAGCAUGGAAUAAUAAAAUAGGACGGCAUGGUUCUAUUUUGUUGGUUUCUAGGACCACCGUAAUGAUUAAUAGGGAUAGUUGGGGGCAUUAGUAUUCAAUUGUCAGAGGUGAAAUUCUUGGAUUUAUUGAAGACUAACUACUGCGAAAGCAUUUGCCAAGGAUGUUUUCAUUAAUCAAGAACGAAAGUUAGGGGAUCGAAGACGAUCAGAUACCGUCGUAGUCUUAACCAUAAACUAUGCCGACUAGG
rnacentral:rRNA from 1 species